AAGCCGCAAGCAGGACGAUAAAAACAAACAUGCCCAAGAAGAAGUUGCGUGUUUGAAUCGCUCGGAAGUACGUAGUAAAUUUGUUCGCGAUCGUGGUCCGCGGCCAACUUUAUCGGAUUUUGUUUCCCGAUUUUGGAUUCAACAGCCAAUUCGGUCUUUUGGCUUUCCGGACGGCGUCGCUGCUUCAUCUUUCCAGCAUACUGGGAGGUGGGAAAUCUACGUCAGGAAUCUGAAGUUGCAGAAGUUGCGGUUGUUUUUCAGUGAUAGUCCCGGUCCCAAGUACAGAUUCUAAUCGGCUGUAUUGAGCUACCUGCAGCAGAGCAGUCUACUACGGAAGGUGUAAAUAGUUCAGUUAUGGUGCCGGUUUUAAGUCAGCCACCGAGAGAAACCUGCAGGACGAGAAAAAAACGUCUGUUGCCGAGAAGAAUAUUAAAAUUCAUCAAGUGAAAAUAACGAAAUUAUGCAUUAAAAAUUAUUUUUCGAUUAUUAAAUAAAAAAAAAACAAAAUGUCA